rnacentral:rRNA from 1 species
GAUGAACGCUGGCGGCGUGCCUAAUACAUGCAAGUCGAGCGAACGGACGAGAAGUUUGCUUCUCUGAUGUUAGCGGCGGACGUGUGAGUAACACGUGGAAAACCUACCUAUAAGACUGGGAUAACUUCGGGAAUCCGUAGCUAAUCCCGGAUAAUAUUUUGAACCGCAUGGUUCAAAAGUGAAAGAUGGUCUUGCUGUCACUUAUAGAUGGAUCCGCGCUGCAUUAGCUAGUUGGUAAGGUAACGGCUUACCAAGGCAACGAUGCAUAGCCGACCUGAGAGGGUGGUCGGCCACACUGGAACGGGGACACGGUCCAUACGCCUACGGGAGGCAGCAGUAGGGAAUCGUCCGCAAUGGGCGAAAGCCUGACGGAGCGAGGGCGCGUGAGUUAUGAAGGUCCUGGGAUCGUGAAACUCUGUUAUUAGGUAAGAACAUAUGUGUAAGUAACUGUGCACAUCUUGACGGUAACUAAUCAGAAAAGCACGGCUAACUACGUG